rnacentral:lncRNA from 1 species
UCCUAGAGAGCAGGCUGCAGCGGGAGGAAGCUCGUGUGCCCUUCUGAGUCCAGAGCAGCACAGCUCCACAUCACUUCUCCAGGGAAACAAAAGAGAUCACACAUUUGAGUGUGCAUCCUCUUUGGGGACCAAGAAGGCAGGAGGAAAAAGGAAAACAGCCCAUCCGUUUGGUUUUCGCCUCGGCAAUCUGCACAAGUGUUGAACCCUCCACCUGGAUGAGGGAAAGCGAAGUGGGGGAUGGGGGAGUCCUAAGGAUGGAAUGCAAGAGACUCCUCAGCUUGGCCACCUGCUUUUCCUAAAAGGAACAACAACAACAAAUGGUAGAAAUUUCCAGAAGUCCUUACUCAGGCCACUGCAAAUGCCAAUCUUUAACCUUUCCCCUAAAUCUGCUGGCUUAAGAGAACAGGAAGAAAGGGGAACCCCGUUGGGCUAAUCUGUGGGCCUGCACUAAGAUCCCACCC